rnacentral:rRNA from 1 species
CCUACGGGAGGCAGCAGUGAGGAAUAUUGGUCAAUGGACGGAAGUCUGAACCAGCCAUGCCGCGUGCAGGAAGACGGCUCUAUGAGUUGUAAACUGCUUUUGUACAAGGGUAAACCUGAAUACGUGUAUUCAGCUGAACGUACUGUACGAAUAAGGAUCGGCUAACUCCGUGCCAGCAGCCGCGGUAAUACGGAGGAUCCAAGCGUUAUCCGGAUUUAUUGGGUUUAAAGGGUGCGUAGGCGGAUUGAUAAGUUAGAGGUGAAAGGCCCGAGCUUAACUCGGGAACUGCCUCUAAUACUGUUGAUCUAGAGAGUAGAUGCGGUAGGCGGAAUGUAUGGUGUAGCGGUGAAAUGCUUAGAGAUCAUACAGAACACCGAUUGCGAAGGCAGCUUACCAAUCUAUAUCUGACGUUGAGGCACGAAAGCGUGGGGAGCAAACAGGAUUAGAUACCCCUGUAGUC